UCAUUUCUCUCUACUCCUCUUUCUUUUUCUUUCUUCUUAUCUUUUUCUCUUCUUCUCCGAUCAACUUUUUCUUUCUUUUCUUCUCUCUUUUCUUUUUCUUUCUUCCAUCUUCAUUUCCUUCCCUUUUCCUCUACCAUGCCACUCACUCUCCCUUCUUCUAUGCCGCUCACUCUCUCUCUCUCUUCCUCCCUCUAACCAAUGACUUAAACCCCCUAAUCUUUCUUCUAAACACACGGCAGCUAUCCCUUUUGAAAACUUCAACCUAAAAACUAAACAAAAAAUAAAG
rnacentral:lncRNA from 1 species